UGAUCCAGCCAUGCCGCGUGUGUGAUGAAGGCCUUAGGGUCGUAAAGCUCUUUCGCCAGGGAUGAUAAUGACAGUACCUGGUAAAGAAACCCCGGCUAACUCCGUGCCAGCAGCCGCGGUAAUACGGAGGGGGUUAGCGUUGUUCGGAAUUACUGGGCGUAAAGCGCACGUAGGCGGAUUAKUCAGUCAGAGGUGAWAUCCCRGGGYUCAACCYUGGAACUGCCUUUGAWACUGYUAGUCUKGASUUCKAGAGAGGUGAGUGGAAUUCCGAGUGUAGAGGUGAAAUUCGUAGAUAUUCGGAGGAACACCAGUGGCGAAGGCGGCUCACUGGCUCGAUACUGACGCUGAGGUGCGAAAGUGUGGGGAGCAAACAGGAUUAGAUACCCUGGUAGUCCACACCGUAAACGAUGAAUGCCAGUCGUCGGGCAGUAUACUGUUCGGUGACACACCUAA
rnacentral:rRNA from 1 species